UGAACGUCAAUACGGUCUGAAUGCGACGCUUACCCAGAAGCGCGAAGUCGUGGUGUUGAUGUGUGAUGCGACCGGUCUGUCGCAACGCCGUGCCUGCAGUCUGGCUGGUC
rfam:Pantoea stewartii subsp. stewartii DC283 WGS_Sequence20, whole genome shotgun sequence.